rnacentral:sRNA from 1 species
UCUAAUUUAUGAUCUUUCUGCUUUAACCUCAUGAGUCCUGGGAUCAUAGAAACAUGCUAUAACUAAAGCUAUUCCAUUUCUCGUCUUUUAAAAAGGCGUUUCCAAUCAGUUCCUAAGAACGGAAUGAAUCCUCUGUGACAAACACUUUGGAAUGGGAGAACUAUAACAAUGACGUCAUAAGAAAAUGGAAAAGGAGUGACUUCCCCCCCAGGCCUCAAGGUGCUGGAAGACAAAUGUGUUGCUUUCCUACUCCUUAUAUUCAUAGUUGCCACAGGGAUUCAGGCAGUGCCAAUUGAAUUUAGUGAUUGUCUAUGAAAAGAUGAAGUUUAUCGGUUUCUAUUUCUUGGAGAUGGAAGCUAGAGGAAGAGAUAGAGCCUAGGUGGAAAGAAUAUUCUAACAGAAGGAACUAUCUGGAAAUGGAAGAGACAGAAGGCAGAGGAGAGUACUGGUCUACUUAGGGAAUACGAUCAAAGUGCCAUGUGUCCUUGUAUGAAAAAAAUGGCAAAAAUUAAACUUGUACU